CACACUGUCAUCUAUCCACCAGUCAACACACAACACCUUAUUCUUGUACGACUCAAUCACAUGCAGUGGAAACGCAGCUCUCAGAUCCCAUAUCAUAACUUUUCCAUCGUAUGAUGCAGAGACCAAGUGAAACCAUGAUUUAUUGUGCCAUUUGCAAGAAGAAAUCCAUGAAUUAUGUCCCGACAAUUGAAAGAUAGGAUCAUAU
rnacentral:lncRNA from 1 species